rnacentral:lncRNA from 1 species
CUUGCAUAAGCUUUAGAUCCCAUAAAUUCUCAAACCACGGUACCCUCCAUGAUUUCCAGUUAGCUAUUACCACAUUGUAGAAUUCGGUCCUGCUUUGGGAGAAUAGUAAGGAGAACGAAUAAAAUACAUUGUUUCAAUUCACUGGCAGCAAGGAAGAAACCGGUAUUUAUUUGCAUAAGGAAAGCAAAGAGGAAAAGAAAAUUGGAGGUCACCCCUUUCACUGGGUGCUGGAAGAAGCUGUCAGUGGGAUGGGGCCACUCACAUCAUGGAGCACUCAUGGAGCACUGUUGCUGCACUCACCCUUCAAGGAACCUGGAUGCUCCUCACUGUAGCCUGUCUACCUGCAGAGUAGCUGUGGUCCCUUUGUCUGGGCAUGAAGAAGAGGCAGAGACAUUGCAUCCUGUCUACAUCCAGAUGUGUCAUGGUACAUAGCAGCAUAGAAAGGGAGAGUGACUCCCUUCAUGGCAAAAUGGGAUGUUCCCAUAAUUCCCCUGGAGAUCUGGAGGCAGAAAGAUGUCAGCGAUUAAUUCUAUUAUGUGGUUGAUACAGUUAGUCAACUUAUGUAAAAGGACCCAUACUUGUGACUCAGUUUUUUCCCUCUUUCUGAUGGUUCCAGUCUCUUAGAUUUGUACAUUAUCUGCGACGGAUCUAUCAUUUAUCUAGAGAAUACCCUUGUCAUUCACUGCAUUUAAUUAGCUUAUGGAUUCUAAAUUAUCUGCUACCAUAAAAUGUGAUUUUUAUACUGCAGAUUACAAAGGUUUUCAGAAAUUUAAUAUGCCACUUUUAAUUGGUG